rnacentral:rRNA from 1 species
UACGAAGGGGGCUAGCGUUGCUCGGAAUCACUGGGCGUAAAGGGUGCGUAGGCGGGUCUUUUAAGUCAGGGGUGAAAUCCUGGAGCUCAACUCCAGAACUGCCUUUGAUACUGGGGAUCUUGAGUUCGGGAGAGGUGAGUGGAACUGCGAGUGUAGAGGUGAAAUUCGUAGAUAUUCGCAAGAACACCAGUGGCGAAGGCGGCUCACUGGCCCGAUACUGACGCUGAGGCACGAAAGCGUGGGGAGCAAACAGG